GACGAACGCUGGCGGCGUGCUUAACACAUGCAAGUCGAACGGAAAGGCCCUGCUUUUGUGGGGUGCUCGAGUGGCGAACGGGUGAGUAACACGUGAGUAACGCGCCCUUGACUUUGGGAUAACUUCAGGAAACUGGGGCUAAUACCGGAUAGGAGCUCCUGCUGCAUGGUGGGGGUUGGAAAGUUUCGGCGGUUGGGGAUGGACUCGCGGCUUAUCAGCUUGUUGGUGGGGUAGUGGCUGACCAAGGCUUUGACGGGUAGCCGGCCUGAGAGGGUGACCGGCCACAUUGGGACUGAGAUACGGCCCAAACUCCUACGGGAGGCAGCAGUGGGGAAUAUUGCACAAUGGGCGGAGGCCUGAUGCAGCAACGCCGCGUGCGGGAUAACGGCCUUCGGGUUGUAAACCGCUUUCGCCUGUGACGAAGCGUGAGUGACGGUAAUGGGUAAAGAAGCACCGGCUAACUACGUG
rnacentral:rRNA from 1 species